rnacentral:sRNA from 1 species
UCAGUAAUUCUUUGCCACUGAGCUUUAAU